GAGCCUGUGGUUCCGGCCUUCGCCACUGGGGGGAGUCUUCCUCUGCUGAGCACCUGUGCCGGAACGCAGCGCCCGUUACACGGUAGCGCUGCUGAGGAACCGUGUGUCUAACAUGUCGUGUCUGUUAAUAUUAACAGAUCCACACCUGUUCUCAUUCAGAGGCUCUUUGGAUCGUCUGCGGGUUUCGCUCUACCAACUCAAGAUCCUCUGAGUAAAGCUGCCACCACCAAGAGUCACGUGCUGUAAGUCUGAAACUUUAUUGUGUUUGAGCGCUCAAAUGUAUUUCUGGAGUUGCAAGCCCAUGAUUUCUGUGCUGGUCCCGAGCUCAGAUAAAUAGAGGGGUUUCGUCUCUCAUGAGAAAGAAGAAGCAUUUAAUCUGAAAAGGGUUUACGCGUCUCUGUCGCCAAGAUUGAGUUUGUUGGAUUUCGUUGGAUUUUGCCAUGUGCCAGCUAAUGUGUGUAGCCAUGAUGAUGAUUUGCAGUCGCCAUCUUGUCUUUUGAGUAUUUCUCUUUUGAGAAAUAGAUGUUAGAAUUUUUAGUCUUCGGUCGGUUCUGAGCUCGAUGGAUUGGAACGUAUCACUCUGUCCAAAGACUACCCAUCAGACCCUGCUCUGUGGAUGCUUCCUGGUUCAUCACGUCACCUGCUUGGGUCCUCCGUGUACCUUCACCUACAUAUAACAUCUCCUAUCAUCACUGAGGCAUCUCCAGCAGCAACUGCCGGAUGCAACAUCUAUCUAAUGGAUAAAUUUAAAUGUGGAUAUAAUUAUUUUAAUAAAUAAAUACUUGAACUCAG